UUACCGGAUUCUGAUGCAUGGAAAAAGGUGCUUCCGAAGUCAUUGAGGUUUUAUGUUGAUAUGUGGGCACCAUUUAGUUGUUAGUCUGAUAUGUUGAUGGAGGAGACUAGGAGCUGUGAUGAGCAAUGGUUUUGCAGCAACCACCAAAGUUUUGACUCUUGUCGUCUCUCAUCUCAUCUUUGAGCUGGUCACUUAGUGUAAAUACAGCAACCAGAUUUUCUAUGAGAAUUUUCUUUUUUAGGUAUGGUAUAUUACUUAACCUUACUAAACAACAGUUGUACAGGAAUCUUAAUAUAAUACUAUAUUCUCAUUUCUAUUUGAUCAAACCAAGAAUUUCAUUG
rnacentral:misc_RNA from 1 species